UACGAAGGGGGCUAGCGUUGCUCGGAAUGACUGGGCGUAAAGGGCGCGUAGGCGGAUGGCACAGUCAGAUGUGAAAUUCCCGGGCUUAACCUGGGGGCUGCAUUUGAUACGUGUGAUCUGGAGUGAGGAAGAGGGUCGUGGAAUUCCCAGUGUAGAGGUGAAAUUCGUAGAUAUGGGAAGAACACCGGUGGCGAAAGCGGCUUCCUGGUCCAGCACCGACGUCAGGCACGAAAGCGUGGGGAGCAAACAGGG
rnacentral:rRNA from 1 species